UGACUAGUCUAUAAUAAUCCCUGUUCGUCAAAUAUAAUGUAUAGUUGUCCAAGAUUUAGGUUCGGACAUGAUAAUCAAACAAAUUACAACUAGUGACGAGAACUUUUCAAAUUUUUUUACAACUCCGAAAAACAAAAAUACAACAAUACAAAUUCUUUGAAAAUCUAUCACGGGAAGAGCACAAUCUACCGCUUUCAUGCCACAAUGCAUCAGUGUCAAGCGCAGAUAGUAUGAACACAAAAAAGAAAAAAAUCCAUGUAACAAUAAGCAACUGUGAUCGCAUCAACAAACCCUAGUGACGAAACGACGCGACUUGGUGUCAUUUUCGACAACUGUAUACUUUUUAGCAUCACAAUAAAACGGGUUUACUAAAAGGAAUCUAGAGAAAACGCAAACUUCGAUUAAGUAUGACAGUUUAACUAUAAGCCAAGACCAAUAUGGUUAUAUCAACUGGAUCAAUUAAAUUUUAAAAUCGAUCCUCUUUAUUUCUUCUUAAGCUUCAGCUGAAAAAAUACUUAUUGCAAAUAGUUAGUUUCCGGAGAUAUAUUUAAAUUAAGAACUGUUGCGUUUAGUUGUAAAAUUCUAUUCUCAACUAGGAAGCUUUAAAAACUUCUUAGAUUGCAAGUUACAAGUAAAACAUUGCACGCAUGACUUCAGGAAAUAAUAUACAACCUCCAAAAAAUCAACCUUAAUCGAUUAUAAAGGUAAAAAUUUGAUAUUGCAGAAGACAAAGUUCAAAGAAAAACUUUCUUUUAAUCCUGCCACGGACGUUGCAUAACAAUUACAAGGGAUAACUAAUUUGAACAACUUGACGCAAAAGUAACAUCAUGAAUAGGGCCGACUGAUUAAUUCAUUAAUUUCUAUUCAAACUGAAAAUACCGAAUCAAUCGAAUAAGCUGGCCGAGUUCACGUUAAAGAAAGCUGAAUUCACUUUUACUCCAACUGGACGUUUGCAGUACAGCCAACGGAUCAUUUAAUUAGAAUGAAACGCAUUGAGUAUUGAACUUUUCGUACACUCACCUCGGACAUUCAAUAACAUGCUUUCGAUUGACAAAAAUAUUCCGAGAGCUGCAUUAAUCCGUCGUCUGAAAGACUGUUUGGCAAACAAAUCAAUACGCAAUAGAAAAAAAACCAAUUUAACCGUGUUUCCUCGCGAAAUACCGUUUUUUUCGUUCCUCCCUGCGGUUUCUCUUCUCUUUCCAUUUUUCUCCUCUAUUACUUGCCGACAAUAUUCUCUCACUCUCUUUAUCUCUAUCUCAGCUCGUAGGAAAUGAACGACAAAAAUACUACGCCCCGAACCGCAAGUAGUUCUUUUCAAUUCAGUGAGGUCGUAUUAGAUCGCUCAAAGAGGCACUUGACGAUAUUUUUCUCCCACGCGCACAUACUAUUUUACUCAAGAUUUAAAGAUGUUGCAAAACUUCCCGCAGCACUUAAACUAUUGGAUAGUUCAGUGGUUAUACACGAGUUACAAUCUACCAAAUCUCGUUUAUUUUAUUUUAUUUAUGUGUAUUUUUUUUCCUUAGAUUUUUGUAACGGACCUAUAUUCUUAUUGUGUAUACGCGUGGAAAAUGUGGACGGUUAUUACUACAUAAACAGACCGUUAGGUCCGGCGGUAAAUAACGGGUUAAAGAACAACCAUCACACUCUCUCUGGGUAGCGUUAUAUAUAAAUAAUAAGGCUGAAUGGGUAGGAGGGCAAAACAUGUCGUAAAUAACGCCUUAAAAGCCUCCUCCUUGGUGCAAACGGUUUCUCCGCAUCCCCUAGAAAACUCCUCGCCGUUCUAUACGUCACCGAGCGCGCAGAUUCAUUGUAAAAAGGUCGCACCUGAGCACAAAGCUCUACAAGCUGGCAUUUCGUUUUCAUAAAUUAUUCACCUAGCUAAGGCGUUUUUUUCCUUCGAAAAAUUUAUGUAUUUUGGCUUUUCUUCGACCAACUAUUUCUUUUGCCUAUGAAACAUUAACCAAAACUGUUUGAUUUACCGAAAUCUAAAGAAUAACUUAUUUCUACAGAAAAAAAUUACAUAUUAAUAUUAAAACCUUUGUAAAUGUAUGAUAACAUUCCAAAGCUCACUGUCUAACCAAAAAGUUAUAAUAUAUAUAUAUAUAUAUAUAUAUAUUCUAAAAACAUUUAAAACUUUAAUGGGUUAUAUUGAAGAGGUACUUGCAAAAUUUAAGAUCUAUAUCUCAAGUUUAAACCACUACACACGGGAUUCAAAUUUGAUUUUGAUAGUCAUUUUAUAAAACUCAAAACUGAACUUUUCCAAAUACUUUAUUUUACUUAAACCUAUAAUUGAAAUUUUUUAUGGCUGAUAGUAAAUUUUAUAAGGGUUAUAUAUAUAUUAAAAUAAUUUUGGUUGAGUCGACAGCGUAUUGUGACGGCGUUUAAGAUUUUCUUAUUAUGAAUAAUUUGUAAUAUGUUUGUGUGCUUUAUCUGUGUCAUAAAUGCUACAAUGACGAACAGGUUGACAGGUGUCAAAUUGUGUGUUCUUCACUCUCCGCCCUUUCUAAUUCACCAUUGCACUGAACGCCACAUAAGUAUCACUGUCUAUUACAUUGUUCAGUGUAGAUCAAUAAUUUUGUUAUCUUAGUUUCUGUAAUUUCCGACUAAUUUUAACCCCUUUAAAAGGUUAGAGACUCCUAGACGCCUCUGUUAUAACCGAUUCGAUAAGCCGGUUGUCGGAGAAUAGCCAAAUUAAACUGGUUAUGUUUAUUUAUUUAUAGCGAAUUUUUGUUGUUGUGUGCGCUAAAACGUUUUUGUGAAGUACAAUUUAUUUUUGUGAAUGUCCGAUACCAUGUAAAUUUUUUUAUAAUUAUGGCGUCGGCUGUACAUGUCUCAAGUUUCUUAGCUCUUCGGGGCUGGUAAAGUAUUUUAUUGAGCCAAAUUAUUUUUUAUAUCAUUUCUAGUGCACCAUACCAUAUGCACGUGUUACGGGGUUUUUUUGUUUUGGUGCCCCUAUUAUUUUUUCGGUCUUUCAACAUGACAGACAUGAUAUAAGACCAACUGUCAUGGAUAGGUAUUUUAUAGAAAUUUCAGAUAUCCAAUAGUGAGAGAUGCGUUCUAAAACCAUUCCUCCGUUUUACUCAUUAUUUAUUUAUUAUUGGUGGUGAAUAUUCUACAAUAUAAUAUGAAUACGUUCUUUAACCCGUAGUGUCUUACAUGUAAUGAUUGAAGUAUAAAAAAAUAGUUCGUCAACUUGGGGCAUACGGUCGGCUAGAAUUGCGGUUACCAUGUUUAAUGCUAUUCGAUAAUGAUCGGAGGCGUUCAUUGCAUUUAUAUCGUAAAAAGUUGUUGGUGUAAAUUUUUUUUUGUUUAUGACUUAUGUUUGUUUUUAUUUUAUUCUCUGUUCCCUUUGAUUUACUGACGAGCUUUUUGACCAUUCGGUUUUUUGCCUCGUAUUAAGUUAAACUUUUUUUUAAUAAAUUUCCUUUAAAUUAAAUUAAUAACAAACUCAUUUUCUUACGUAUUCUAUCUUCAACAGACAGAAGGUAAGGAUAACGGUCUUUUGUUUGAGAUCAUCCCAUCUAAACAUGGUAAAGUGACUAUUUAGUCACGAGAUUUUGUCGUACAUCAACUGUCAACGUCUCAACGAUCAUUUGAUACAAAAUUAUGUAAUUAAGUCUAUAAUUUUGUUUUCUUUAAAUUUUUAUUUAGAUAAGGUUAAUAAUAAUAAUUUUUUUUUAUGAUUUGUAAUAUAAUGUAAUACUUAAAGUUUCUUUUUUUUUGUUUGAAUUUGUAAAUUAAAUUGGUUUUGUUGUUUAAUUUUAAUUAUUAGACUUAUUUAUGGACUUUAUGAUAUUAUUAAAUGUCUUUAUUAUGAAAAUAAAAUCCGGGUACCGAAACAUAUGUAACUGAUAAGUAAAAAAAAAUUGAGUUGUACACUAAUAAUGAAUAAAAUACGAUAAACAUAAAAUAUAUAUUUUUUUCAA